rnacentral:misc_RNA from 1 species
CUGAAGUGGGUUGUGUUUGAUCAUUGUGUUUAAUGCUAUUAUUGUUGCUUCUCUCUGAUCGCUUGCUUGAUUUUCCAGUGCAGGGAAAACACCCCAUAUUCUUAUUAUUCUUAUAAUUAUUGUUCCUCCUAUGAUUAUUAUUAUCAAAUUCAACAAAAAUAAAAAAUAAAAAAUAAAUUCUCUCUCUUUCUUUCUUCUUUUCUUCUUUGUCUGUCUACAGAGAAAGAGAAAAUAAAGACGCAGAAACUGUUUAAAGAGAGAGAGAGAGACACACAGACAGAGG